rnacentral:rRNA from 1 species
UACGUAGGGUGCAGGCGUUAAUCGGAAUUACUGGGCGUAAAGCGUGCGCAGGCGGUUUUGUAAGCCAGGUGUGAAAUCCCCGGGCUCAACCUGGGAAUGGCAUUUGGGACUGCAAGGCUGGAGUGUGGCAGAGGAGACUGGAAUUCCUGGUGUAGCAGUGAAAUGCGUAGAUAUCAGGAGGAAUACCGAUGGCGAAGGCAGCCCCCUGGGUCGAUACUGACGCUCAUGCACGAAAGCGUGGGGAGCAAACAGG